UACGUAGGGGGCAAGCGUUGUCCGGAUUAUUGGGCGUAAAGAGCGUGUAGGCGGCCAAGUAGGUCAGCUGUGAAAACUCGAGGCUCAACCUCGAGACGUCGGUUGAAACCGCUUGGCUAGAGUCCGGAAGAGGAGAGUGGAAUUCCCGGUGUAGCGGUGAAAUGCGCAGAUAUCGGGAAGAACACCCGUGGCGAAGGCGGCUCUCUGGGACGGUACUGACGCUGAGACGCGAAAGCGUGGGGAGCAAACAGG
rnacentral:rRNA from 1 species